rnacentral:rRNA from 1 species
CCUACGGGUGGCAGCAGUGGGGAAUAUUGGACAAUGGGCGAAAGCCUGAUCCAGCCAUGCCGCGUGUGUGAAGAAGGCCUUCGGGUUGUAAAGCACUUUCAGUGGGGAAGAAAGCCUUGGGGCUAAUACCCUCGAGGAAGGACAUCACCCACAGAAGAAGCACCGGCUAACUUCGUGCCAGCAGCCGCGGUAAUACGGAGGGUGCGAGCGUUAAUCGGAAUUACUGGGCGUAAAGCGCGCGUAGGCGGUCUGAUAAGCCGGUUGUGAAAGCCCCGGGCUCAACCUGGGAACGGCAUCCGGAACUGUCAGGCUAGAGUGCAGGAGAGGAAGGUAGAAUUCCCGGUGUAGCGGUGAAAUGCGUAGAGAUCGGGAGGAAUACCAGUGGCGAAGGCGGCCUUCUGGACUGACACUGACGCUGAGGUGCGAAAGCGUGGGUAGCAAACAGGAUUAGAUACCCGUGUAGUC